CCCCUGUGAUGAAUUGCCAUGCUAAUACUGAGACAUCAGGUAGGGGUUUUACCCUGCAUUGGAUGUUGUUGAUAUAAAUUCUUUCUUACAUGCAUCUGAGGGGC
rnacentral:snoRNA from 10 species